CCUACGGGAGGCAGCAGUGGGGAAUAUUGGACAAUGGGGGCAACCCUGAUCCAGCCAUGCCGCGUGUGUGAAGAAGGCCCUCGGGUUGUAAAGCACUUUCAGCGAGGAAGAACGCCUAGCGGUUAAUACCCGCUAGGAAAGACAUCACUCGCAGAAGAAGCACCGGCUAACUCCGUGCCAGCAGCCGCGGUAAUACGGAGGGUGCAAGCGUUAAUCGGAAUUACUGGGCGUAAAGCGCGCGUAGGUGGCUUGAUAAGCCGGUUGUGAAAGCCCCGGGCUCAACCUGGGAACGGCAUCCGGAACUGUCAAGCUAGAGUGCAGGAGAGGAAGGUAGAAUUCCCGGUGUAGCGGUGAAAUGCGUAGAGAUCGGGAGGAAUACCAGUGGCGAAGGCGGCCUUCUGGACUGACACUGACACUGAGGUGCGAAAGCGUGGGUAGCAAACAGGAUUAGAUACCCUGGUAGUCCACGCCGUAAACGAUGUCGACCAGCCGUUGGGUGCCUAGCGCACUUUGUGGCGAAGUUAACGCGAUAAGUCGACCGCCUGGGGAGUACGGCCGCAAGGUUAAAACUCAAAUGAAUUGACGG
rnacentral:rRNA from 1 species